UCAGUAGCACGCUCAAGACCCGAAGCGGAGUGAUCUAGCCAUGGGCAGGUUGAAGCGGAGGUAAGACUUCGUGGAGGACCGAACCCACCAGGGUUGAAAACCUGGGGGAUGACCUGUGGUUAGGGGUGAAAGGCCAAUCAAACUCCGUGAUAGCUGGUUCUCCCCGAAAUGCAUUUAGGUGCAGCGUCGUGUGUUUCUUGCCGGAGGUAGAGCACUGGAUAGGCGAUGGGCCCUACCGGGUUACUGACCUUAGCCAAACUCCGAAUGCCGGUAAGUGAGAGCGCGGCAGUGAGACUGUGGGGGAUAAGCUCCAUGGUCGAGAGGGAAACAGCCCAGAGCAUCGACUAAGGCCCCUAAGCGUACGCUAAGUGGGAAAGGAUGUGGAGUCGCAGAGACAACCAGGAGGUUGGCUUAGAAGCAGCCACCCUUGAAAGAGUGCGUAAUAGCUCACUGGUCUAGUGAUUCCGCGCCGACAAUGUAGCGGGGCUCAAGCGUACCGCCGAAGUCGUGUCAUUCCAGCGUAUAGGGCCAACGCCUGCUGGGAUGGGUAGGGGAGCGUCGUGUGCCGGGUGAAGCCGCGCCGGAAGGCAGUGGUGGACGGUUCACGAGUGAGAAUGCAGGCAUGAGUAGCGAUACAAACGUGAGAAACGUUUGCGCCGAUUGACCAAGGGUUCCUGGGUCAAGCUGAUCUGCCCAGGGUAAGUCGGGACCUAAGGCGAGGCCGACAGGCGUAGUCGAUGGAUAACCGGUUGAUAUUCCGGUACCCGCUGUGAAGCGUCAAACAUCGAACCAGGCGAUGCUAAGUCCGUGAAGCCGCCCCGGAGCCUUCGGGCAAAGGGGAGUGGUGGAGCCGACGAACCAGACUUGCAGUAGGUGAGUGAUGGGGUGACGCAGGAAGGUAGUCCAUCCCGGGCGGUGGUUGUCCCGGGGUAAGGGUGUAGGCCGUGAUCUAGGUAAAUCCGGAUCACACAAGGCUGAGACCUGAUGCCGAGCCGAUUGUGGUGAAGUGGAUGAUCCUAUGCUGUCGAGAAAAGCCUCUAGCGAGUUUCAUGGCGGCCCGUACCCUAAACCGACUCAGGUGGUCAGGUAGAGAAUACCGAGGCGUUCGGGUGAACUAUGGUUAAGGAACUCGGCAAAAUGCCCCCGUAACUUCGGGAGAAGGGGGGCCAUCACCGGUGAUAGCACUUGCUGCUUGAGCUGGGGGUGGCCGCAGAGACCAGCGAGAAGCGACUGUUUACUAAAAACACAGGUCCGUGCGAAGCCGUAAGGCGAUGUAUACGGACUGACGCCUGCCCGGUGCUGGAACGUUAAGGGGACCGGUUAGUCACUCUUCGGGGUGGCGAAGCUGAGAACUUAAGCGCCAGUAAACGGCGGUGGUAACUAUAACCAUCCUAAGGUAGCGAAAUUCCUUGUCGGGUAAGUUCCGACCUGCACGAAUGGCGUAACGACUUCUCGACUGUCUCAACCAUAGGCCCGGUGAAAUUGCACUACGAGUAAAGAUGCUCGUUUCGCGCAGCAGGACGGAAAGACCCCGGGACCUUUACUACAGUUUGAUAUUGGUGUUCGGUUCGGCUUGUGUAGGAUAGCUGGGAGACUGUGAAGCUCGGACGCCAGUUCGGGUGGAGUCGUCGUUGAAAUACCAGUCUGGUCGUGCUGGAUGUCUAACCUGGGUCCGUGAUCCGGAUCAGGGACAGUGUCUGAUGGGUAGUUUAACUGGGGCGGUUGCCUCCCAAAGGGUAACGGAGGCGCCCAAAGGUUCCCUCAGCCUGGUUGGCAAUCAGGUGGUGAGUGUAAGUGCACAAGGGAGCUUGACUGUGAGACCGACGGGUCGAGCAGGGACGAAAGUCGGGACUAGUGAUCCGGCGGUGGCUUGUGGAAGCGCCGUCGCUCAACGGAUAAAAGGUACCCCGGGGAUAACAGGCUGAUCUUCCCCAAGAGUCCAUAUCGACGGGAUGGUUUGGCACCUCGAUGUCGGCUCGUCGCAUCCUGGGGCUGGAGUCGGUCCCAAGGGUUGGGCUGUUCGCCCAUUAAAGCGGUACGCGAGCUGGGUUUAGAACGUCGUGAGACAGUUCGGUCCCUAUCCGCUGCGCGCGCAGGAAUAUUGAGAAGGGCUGUCCCUAGUACGAGAGGACCGGGACGGACGAACCUCUGGUGUGCCAGUUGUUCUGCCAAGGGCAUGGCUGGUUGGCUACGUUCGGGAGGGAUAACCGCUGAAAGCAUCUAAGCGGGAAGCCUGCUUCGAGAUGAGUAUUCCCACCCACUUGA
rnacentral:rRNA from 1 species